rnacentral:rRNA from 1 species
CCCAAUAAAAAAAAAAUUUUUUUUUUAGCCAUUUUUUUAAAAUAUUUUAAAAAACUUUGGGGGGGGGUUAAAAGAUGGGGCCUGGCGGUUUUUUUUAGUUUUUUUGGGGAGGGUAAAAAGUUUCCCCCAAGGUUUCGGAAAAGAUAGGGGGCCUGAAAGGGGGGAUCCCCCACCACUGGUAUGAGGACACCGACCCAGACUCCUACGGGAGGCAGCAGUGAGGAUAUUGCACCAUGGAGGGAACUCUGAUGCAGCCAUGCNGCGUGCAGGAUGACGGCCCUAUGGGUUGUAAACUGCUUUUUUACAGAGNNNAACCUUGGUACGUGUACCAACUUGACGGUAUUGUAGAAAUAAGCACCGGCUAACUCCGUGCCAGCAGCCGCGGUAAUACGGAGGGUGCAAGCGUUAUCCGGAUUUAUUAGGUUUAAAGGGUUCGCAGGCGGAAUUUUAAGUCAGUGGUGAAAGCCUAUAGCUCAACUAUAGAACUGCCAUUGAUACUGAAAUUCUUGAGUAUAGAUGAAGUGGGCGGAAUAUGUCAUGUAGCGGUGAAAUGCAUAGAUAUGACAUGGAACACCAAUUGCGAAGGCAGCUCACUAAACUAUUACUGACGCUCAUGAACGAAAGCGUGGGGAGCGAACAGGAUUAGAUACCCUGGUAGUCCACGCCGUAAACUAUGAUCACUAGAUGUUGGCGAUAUAUUGUCAGUGUUUUAGAGAAAUCGUUAAGUGAUCCACCUGGGGAGUACGUUCGCAAGAAUGAAACUCAAAGGAAUUGACGGGGGCCCGCACAAGCGGAGGAGCAUGUGGUCUAAUUCGAUGAUACGCGAGGAACCUUACCAAGACUUAAAUGUAUUUUGCUAGAUUGAGAAAUCAAUUUUUCUUCGGACAAUUUACAAGGUGCUGCAUGGUUGUCGUCAGCUCGUGCCGUGAGGUGUCGGGUUAAGUCCCAUAACGAGCGCAACCCCUAUUUCUAGUUACCAGCGAGUAAUGUCGGGAACUCUAGAGAGACUGCCUGUGUAAACAGUGAGGAAGGUGGGGAUGAUGUCAAAUCAUCACGGCCCUUAUGUCUUGGGCUACACACGUGCUACAAUGGUCACUACAGUGGGCUGCCAUCUGGUGACAGAGAGCAAAUCCAUAAAGGUGAUCCCAGUUCGGAUCGGAGUCUGCAACUCGACUCUGUGAAGUUGGAUUCGCUAGUAAUCGUAUAUCAGCAAUGAUANCUGUAUCGCGCCGG